rnacentral:lncRNA from 1 species
ACUCUCCUGCCUGGGCUGCUGCUCAACGGGGGCUGGGGGUGUGUGGGGCGGGGGUGGUCUGUCCAGUGAUUCAGCCACAUGUGAUAGAUGACCAAGUGACUGCUUUCUUGGAGUCCGCACACCAGUGGAAGACUCUCAAAGUGGUUGUGACCGACUUGAUCAAACUCUAGGCUUCCUGAACUGGAAUGAAAUGCAGAUAACUCUUUAGAAAACUUUUGUAGGAAAAGCGCCUCGUGUGAUCUGGAACAAAGACGUUUUAUAAUCAGAUUUAUCAAGCUGCGAAGAGGGAGUUUUAGUGAACGGAAGCAGCAGCAUUCUGUCACCAGGAAAUACUCCUUUAUCCAGAAUUGGUAAGUGAAAAGUGGCAUUGCUCCCUAAUAGAUAUCAUAUGCGUGUGUGGGAAUUGAAAAAUUGUUCACAGACCCCUAACAACUGUGUUGAACAGAGAACACAUAAACAGUGAGGAGUUCUAAAAAAGAGCAGCACGAGAAUACCGCAUAAAGACUGAGAAGAAGCCAGGUAAUUAACAAAAAUGAGCUGAGUGCUAUCAGUUUAGCUAAACAUAUGUAAUACAGCUAGAUUUGGUUGUUUUAUUUUUUCUUGUUAGUGGAGGAGAAACAUAAAAUCAGAAUGGGCUGUUUAGUAGAAUUGCGACAUUAACUUUCCAUGGAUGUAGAUUUCCAUUUAGUCUGAAUAGCAUGUAUGAAAUUUGAAGGGAUGCUUUCAGAAUUAGUCUACUUGCCCUCCUUUCCUUUCCUCUGCAUUAAGAUGUCAAGUAUUUAGUUAGAACCUUACAAGAUGAAAGUUGUACAAAAUGAAAGUUCAAGUAAUGCGUCGGAAACACCUCUCCUGAUUGGGAAGGGUAGAUUACAAUGGCAAUAGAUUUUUGUUUUUUGUUUCUUACAUUUGUGUCACGAAUUUUAAGUUUGUUCUAUUGGAUUACAUUAGUACAGCAAAAGGGGGGUUAUUUCUAUCUAUAUGGUUCAUGACAUUUUGAGAGGUCGUGAUUAGUAGUUCUUACUGGUUUCGUAUGCGUGUUCCUGCCUGUUGAAUUCAGUUUUCUAAUCUUGAAUCUGAGCUGCCUUUAUGUUAAAGGGUUCUAGAAAAAGACAAUAAAGCUUUGAAUACCCGUGUUAUAUACAACAGGUUCCUGUUCAUGAUGUAUAAGGUAACGCAAUUUUAUUUUAGGCAUGAAUGUCUAAUUUCUUGAUUUGGCUUCUUAAGAAUAUACUGAAAAGGUUGAAUAGAAUAAGAAAAAGAACAUUAGAAAAGAAUGGUGGGUGACUGCCUGAUUUUACUAGUUUCUUAUUGGUCAAUAGAAGUAAUCAUGUGAUGUCUACUUAUAGAAGCAAAUGGAAAAAAUUUUUCUUCUUUAACUGCUAACAAGUAUAUAGGCAAUUUUAGCAAUCUUCAUUUAUUAAUUUGAAUAUAUAAUUAUAACUGUUAUUAACAGAAUAAGUUUUGGGUAAUAUAGGAAAUAAUAAUUAUUUCUUUCUUUUUAAGCCAAAUUGGAAGUUGAAUCUACUUUUGGUUCCUGUUCUGUUACUUUCAAAAUCUUAAAAUCCUUAACUCAAAAGGGAAAAUGUAUAAUAAAACAGGAUAGCAGUGCUGAAAUUUCUCUCUCUUAGCAGUGGAGUGGGAUGAGGGUGGGGGAGGGAGAUGAAUCUAGUGAGAUAUAUUAAUUGUUUUUUCCCCCUCUUGUAUACUUGGAUAACUUUUGAGAUCAGUUUUCUCAGACUAGCAGCUCUCAAGACUUUUGCAUAAGUAUUUAUUCUUAAAGAAAUAGAAAGACAAGAUAAGCACGGCUCUUAAGGGCAGGUCCUCCAAUAAGUCAGGAAACGGGUGAUCCAAACUUGUGAACAUGACAAGUCAAUUUGACUUAAUUAAGGAAUGGCAUUAGUUUUCUUGAAGCACAUGAAUUUAUAGGUUUUUAGAGUCUUGAAGACAGAAAAAUGGCAACAAAGCAUUAAGGUAUUUACAGAUAAUUUAUAUUCAACUGCUAGCUUAUGUUUUCAACUCUGUAUUUCAUGUAAGUAAAUACUUGGGGAGAACAUGAUGAUUUAAUAAUCUGGAUAAAUACUGCCGUGCCUGUUGGAAAAAAGCCUCUAAUUUUUAGGUUUUCCUCAUCCAUUUAAAAUCCAUUGUUUUGAAUGACAAAAUGUGAUAGAAACAGGUUGGAACAGUAAAUGCUAGAAAGUAUAUCCCAGAAGAAUUAACUGAGAACUUCAUGUUUUCAAUUCUAUUUGCCGUUCUCUGUUCUCAAUUUGUUAAUUUUUAAAAGUACAUCGAAAGUGAGUAGCAUUGCUUGCUCUGAAUUCUCCUCUGGGGUCAUUGAGAGUAUUCACAUUUUCGUAUACCCUGUUAAAAGAUAUUAAUGCCAUGCAUAUGCCUUUGUCUUUGUGGGUGUGUAAAACAACAAACUGAAGGGAUCUGGUCAAGAGACAGACCUCAAAAUAAUUUCUCUGAAAUAGUGUUUGAAUUUGCAUGUUCGGGAACGUAAAUGCUUUCCCUUUGGGCUUGUUUCUUAAGUUUUUGGUGUAGUAUACAGUUUUACCCAAUUAAAUUUUUCUUUUGAGGUCUGUAUAUGUAUGGGUGUCUAUAUUUGAUUUGAAGGGGGAGUUUUAAUCAUUAGUGAAACAAGUGGCUGUUUGUUAGAACCCAGAUAAGCCUCAUAGUGUUGUUCCUAUGACAACUGAGUAGUUGGGUGUUGAAAUGUAGCUUUAAGUUCUUGGUUUGGAAAUGUCAUUCAGACCUCCCACUAUAGUCUCAUUGAGUAGGAGGAUAAUGAGAAGGGGAAAAACCAUGAAGCAACAUAAGUAUCUCCGUUCGUUUCAUGUCUUCCUGACUUGUCUUUGUGUACAGGAUCGCCAUGGGAGUGGUAAACAUAGGUCUUGAACAAAGCAAUACUUCAAUUAAAAAAAUACAUGGAAAGGGUCAGAAAAGUUGGGGAAGAUAAAUAACAACACAUGGGGGCAAUAAAGAGGCAAGAGAAAUAGGCUUCCAUGGGUUUCUGCAAAUCCUUUAUCCAGUGCUGACCAGCAGUGAGAACAUCUUGAACCAGUUAUUGUAUAGCUCUUCAAGAGCUGUGAAUUUCCUUAAAAUGCAAUGUGGAGAAAAUUCCUUUGGUAGCAGGAUGGUUUACCACUUUGGCAUAACGUUUAUUCAUCUCCCCCAGGCAGACUACAGAGGAUACUGUGUUCUUUUAAGGCACAUGUUUUUAAACCAGUUGUUCAUUUGUCAUUUAAUAGCUUUUGUCUUUUUUCUAUGGGAAAGACAAGGUUGUACUAUUAAAAUAGUGAUAAAAUUUAAGUAUUUUAUUCUAUAUUCAAAAAGUGCUUUUGAAAAGUACUUAGAAAAAGAUUGUUUGAGACCUGUUGUUUGUGGAAAUGUCUGUCAAUGGAGAAUCUAUGGAGCACUGUAUUUGAGGAGAGGGAUUGUUCAGACUAAUAUUUGGCAUAGCUUAAUUAUGCAGUUGUUGAUUUUCCAUGUCUGAAGGUCUUCCUAUUUCCUACUCCUAAAUAGUUUUAACUAUUUAUUUGGUUGCUAGAACCUCCUGAAGUUAGAAAGAAAAAGAUUUCAGUGGGGUUAGUCUCUUAAUAAAUAUAUGCCCACCAUCUCUUCUGUAAUCCAAAAAGCUCUGAAAAUCAAAAGAUUUUCAUGUAACAAAUUUGGCAGCAAAUCCUGACCUGAACUGAUGUGAAGCUAAUGAUAGUCUUUGUUUAGCUCGCUCAGAAUGAAUCUUUGUAUGUUUUACUGUAGAAGUAUUAAUGUGUUUGAUCACGGAGUAUUGUUCCAGACUCCCCUAGAGGUUUAUAUACUAUAUUGAAUAGUCAACCUAUUACCUUUAUAAAAUAAUAAUAAUAAUCAAUCUGAGUGUCAGGUAAGCAUUUGUGGACCCAUAAUUACUGACAUACAUUGAGUUCAUAUUAUAUGCCGGGUACCAUUCUAAAUGAAUCACUGGCAUCUAAGAACAGUGUCUGGCACAUAGUAGGUACUUAGUAGACACGUUUUGGUAGGAACUGCUUUACACUUAUUAAAUUCUUUAACUCACAAAAACAGUAUACAGGAAGUAGCGGAGCCAAGAUUUGAAAGCAGACAGUCUAGCUCCAAUCUGCUCUUAAUGAUUCUGAUGCAGGUACAAGAGAGGACUGGAGAUGUGGCACUGGACUUCUUAACUGAGUCAGAGGGGGUGUUUGAGUGAUUUACUUUAUUCAUAGUCACCCUAUACCUCCUACGAUCAAGAGCUGGUGGUAUCACCACUAUGGUCAUUAGCCGGGGCUGUGGUUGAAUGCUUAUAACAGGUUCUCCUGGGUGGGAGUGUAGGAAUUCCAGGGGUCUGAACUCUCCUCACAGGCUUCCCAAGGUGAUCUCCAUCAGUAAAUCAGCCCGACUUUUUCAUCUUGAAAAAUUAAGACAUAGGAAAUAACUCUUUCCUUAACCCUAAGGAAGUUUCCUUGAACAGUGGGAAAAACGUUUUUGUAGACAUUCCUUAGACCCCUUACCCAGCAGGAGGUGUGGAAUCAAUAAAGAGGGCAUGGGUCACCUCCAAGGUUGUGAGCUCCCUGGCUUGGGAACUACACUGGGACACAGCAGAGCCUCUUGGCAGAAAUCAGGCAGCCCAUGGAGCUUCAGCUGCAUGACUCUUUGAAUUCACAAAAGGAUACCUUUAACAGUACUUCUCAAAAAAUGUAUAUAAGGCAUGUCUCAAGUCCCUAUAUGUUUCUAGGGAUAAAAAAAUUCAUUUCAAACUGAUGGCAACCUCCCCAUUCUAUUCCCCAGCUUUCUAUCCUUCUUCCUGCUUAAUUUUUCUUCUUAGCACUUGCCUCUGUCUGACAUAUUGUAUGUCUUACUUAUUUAUUCAUUUGACAUUUUAAUUAGACACUAGCAGUAUUGUUUUCUUUGAAUACAUUUAAAGGUCCUAGAUUUAUUUCUUUUUGAUGCUCAUCUUCUAACUCAUUCCCUCCUAUCAAUCUCAGACUGCUGUAAAUAAAUGAUUUUUUGCCUUUUUUUUUUUUUUUUACUAUUAGUUAUCAUAUUUAUUUUUCUUAAACAAGCUGUACUGGUUAUACAGUCUGAAUUUGGAGAAUAGACGUCUUCAUUCAGGAGGGGAAAUUGAGCCAAGUUUGAAUAUAAUCAUUGGGUAACAAAUCCAGAAGAUUAAGUUACUAAGGAGAACAUGCAAAGUAAACACUUGCAUUUUAUGAACUACCUUCAAUUUAAAUAGACAACUGGGUAACUGUAUAUGACAUGUUUUGGGAGUAAGACCUGUUAAACCUACCUACUUCCUACUGUUUUCAUUUGAAAAAUAAAUCAAUUAUUAAACAGUUAUUCUACACAUUAAAGACUGUAAGUGAUUUAACCUUGAAUAUUUCCUGACUCAAGUUCUUAAAAUCCUCAACUCUAACCUCUUGUUUUUCAACCCCAUAUUUAUUCUAGUUUAUUCUUUCCAACAUAUUUAGGGCAAUCUAAAACAUAAAGUAAAAAAACCCCCACAUAUAUUAUUAACUAUAAACAAUGUGGUUAUGUAAAUGCAUCAUUUUAGUUGAUCUUUUUUCUUUAGCCUAGUUCUUUUUUUCUUUUCUUUUCUCUCUCUUUUUUUUUUUUUUUUUUUUUUUUUUGAGACAGAGUCUUGCACUGUCACCCGGCCUGGAGUGCAAUGGUGUGACCUUGGCUCACUGAAACCUCCACCUCCUGGGUUCACGUGAUUCUCCUGCCUCAGCCUCCCGAGUAGCUGGGAUUACAGGCACACACUGCCACGCCCGGCUAAUUUUUUUUUAUUUUUUAUUUAUUUAUUUUUUAUUUUUAGUAGAGACGGGGUUUCACUAUGUUGGCCAGGCUGGUCUUGAACUCCUGACCUUGUGAUCUGCCCGCCUCAGCCUCCCAAAGUGCUAGGAUUACAGGUGUGAGCCACCGCGCCUGGCCUAGACUAAUUCUUAAAGGAACAGAUUAGAUACAUACAAAAGUUGAAUUUAGUAUGCUUUUGUAAGUUAAUAUAAUGAUUGGGACAUUUUGUUUUCUUAGCUAUGCUUUAUAACAAAAUAGUUCUAGUUACUUUCUUUUAAAUGGUUACUAAAGUAAUAACUUGCUUUUUAAAAACAUAGUAUAACUAUUUAAGGUAGACUAUGAAGAGUAGGCUGAGGUUUCAUUUUAAAUUAUCUCCUCUUUCUGCCAUGGAAGAGUUUAAUUCCCCUGAUGUGCUUAUGGUAUUGAAAGCCCAUUGUUGGUGUUGGUAUUGAAAGAAAGCUUAGUUUUUCUGCGUUUCCUAAAAGGAGAGGGAAGAAAGAUUUUUAAAAGUGAAAAUCCAUUGAUUUUUUUUUUUCUUGAUUAGGAUUUGUAUAAUAUAUCUGAAGUGAGACUAGAGUUCUUAAAGUUGAGAGAAACAGUAAAUAUGUACACGCCCGGCAAAACUUUGCAGGGAACAUUCAGAGUUCGGAUUACCUGAAAAAAAUCUUGAAAGCUUCAGACAUUUUCCAGAGAGUGUUAGUGCGUGAAAGUGGUACCCAUGACCCCAAGAGGGUGUCCAUUCACAGCCUCCAUUGAAGUAGUUUACUCCCUAAGAGGCCCAGGCUUUGGAAAUAAGUAGAUUUGUGCUUUAAGCUCCCUUUGCCCCUUGCUAGCUGAGUAAGCUACUCCGCUAUUUCCCUGAGCCCCAGAGUGUAGAGCAUCAGAAGUAGUGCACAGGUUUGUUGUGUGAGAUAACACAUGUAAAGCACAUGCUGUGGGACCUGGAGUAAUGGUGCUUAACACACUUGCAUUCCCUUCCAAAAUCCCUUUAGGAACAGACUUCUUCAGUUUAGUCCUAAAGCCUGUAGAUCCAUGCUAAGUGAUAUGACUUUUUUUCACAUCAGAUUAAGCAAAACACUGAUGAUGGUGACUGUCGCUUAUUGUGCAGUUACCAUGUUCUGGACAGGCACUGUUGUAAGGGCUCUACCUGCAUCGACCCAUUUUUCCUCAUGACAAACUAUUGGUGCAAUUAUCAUGCCCAUUUCAUAGAUGAACACACAGAGGCACAGAGAGGUAAAGGAACUUACUUAGGGCCACUCAUCUGUCAUGGAACCAGAAUCUAAAUCCAAAUAGGCUGUUGCCAGUACAGAUGGUAAGUACAUGUACUUCUGGCAGGAAAGCAGAAUAAAAGUUGACUGAACCUGAAAGUCUCGGAAAUGGUCUUCUCAUUUCUAUUCUGUAAAGUGUCACGUCUUCUAGGCCUACCUCUGUCAAUAUUGAAAUACAAAAUUAACUUUUUCUGCUUUUUAUUUCACAAAUCAACGGGAACAGUCUUAGUCAUUUGUGUUUUAUGAGUUUUAAUUAGGCCACUGCAGUCCAGGAGGGGAAUUCCUUGUUUUCAGUUGAUCUCAUAUACUAACAAGUUUAAUCAUGUAACUUCCCCUAUUUUUUUCUCUAAUGUUUUCACUUGAAAGUGGGGGUGGGAGGGAGAAGUAUGUUAGCAUUUGAGUCCUAGGGAUGCACUUACAUCAACCUUUCUGGAAAUUCCUUCUUGCUGGUAUAGAACUAAUCCAUAGAAAAAUGAAAUGUGUAAGAAUCUGUAUUUACUAAUAUUUUUCUUCUUUAUCUCCAUCUAGUUCUGGAUAUUUUCUGGAGGAUGGGGUAAAACUUCUAGAUAAAGAAGUACAGGAAGCCAUCUAUGUGCAUAAAACCUUAUGUUUGGGUGUGGACUUAAUUUUCAGAAUAUGGGAAAGGGGUUUCACAUUGAGAAUUUCCUCUUUCUGAUGUAGAUUGAGAAUUUUGACUUAGAAGAUGAGGGCAUGUUAUCCUAGCCCGUGGGUUCAGAGUGCUUGGAAGUCUCUUUAAAAAAAAAAAAAAAUCCCCUGGCCUUGGACUGAGCCUGCUCUUGGAGGAUUUAUUAAUCAUGCCGGCCUUCAUUCUUUCCUUUGUUUGUUCAUUCCUUCAUUUGUCCAUACUCUCGCAUAAGUCAUUCAACAUCUACCUGCAAAUAGGUGAAAGAAAGGAUGGGAGUGAGAGUCCAUCAGGGGACGGGAGAGGAGAAGCAAUAAACUCACUCUAUGUUCCUUUCACCUCACUGACUGCAUCUUGUAUCUGAUUGUUUGUCCCUUUGGAGACAACGUAUAUUUCACAGACAGACACUCACAACACUCAUGAAGGUCUUUAAGCAUCUUCCUUUGGGAGCUGCAUUUCUUUUUUUAAAGUGAGAGGAGAAAAUGCUUGUGAGGGAAAAACAGUGCAGAGAAAUGGUUUUUCUUUCUUUCUUUUUAAUGUUGGCGGAAGAAGGGUUCAUAGUAGGGAACGUAUCAGUAAAUAUAAUCUAAGAGCACUCAUGCUUUCAAAUAAUUUCCUUGUUUAAAGAUAUUAAGUGCAGUAGCGUUUACAAUUAAUGAUCACAACCAGUUACAGAUUGCUUUGUUCUUUCUCUACUCCUGCUGCUUCACCUGCCUACGCUUAUAAUAAAAGAACAUUAAGAGACAACAAAGGCCAUCACAAAGAUGUCUUCAAAAAUAAUUUUAAAAUAGAAUUUUAAUUAAUUUAAAGGUAAGAAGUGUUGCCAUGCCCUCAAUCAAAUUUAUUAUGACUUUUUGAAAAUAUCUCUAAGUAAAUAUAUAGAAAAUGAGGAAUGAACAUAGGGGAGGGCUUUUGGAAUUUAUACUACUAUUCUUUCAAAAAAUAUUACUCGUCUCCAUGUUGCAGUUAGGAAUACGCUUCCUUAAGACAGAGUCAUUAUCUUUACUUGUUAUUUAAAUCUUGAUAUCACCUCCUAUAGUUUUUGAAAGACAUCACUCUUCAAGUUGUCUUCAAUGGCACAAACUAUACCUGUGCAUUUUCUGAAACAAGUUUGACCAUACCAGCAAAGGCAAUGAAAAUGCUUUGUCUUUCAGCAUGAAAUGUGAAGUCUACAUUAUUAGUGGGUAUAUAUGGCCCAAGGGAAGAAAAUGUUGAAGUAGAUUUAAAAACAAAAACAAAAUCACUCACACUCUAAAAGAAUGUCUCAGUAUUUCAAGGCUCUUCUCUCUCUCUGUGUUAAAACCAAUAAGGAGGCCUCAGGACAAGUUAGGUUGAUAAUGACAGUGAAUAUCUACCUUUCUCCCCAUUCCGUUUGACAUCCAUACUCCAAAAGACCUUCCCUUAUUUGCUAUGCAUGGGUAGCAGGGAGAUUAUAGAGAAACUGUUCUUUUUCCUGCUUUCUUUUUUUACUGCUGGGGGAGUGAUCACUUUCCUACAGCUCUUGUCCACCUGGCCCUUGAGGCGUUUGGAGUUUUGGUAAGGUGUUAACAAAAAUUGUCUCAGGUGCCAACUAAAUUUCAUAAGCUUAUAGCAGCACAACAGACUAAGACACCACAUGGGAAAUGUACAUUUUACAAAAAUAUAUUAUACAUCUACCAUGUCUACCAUGUGCCUUAGAGAGUUCUGGGUCUGGUAAUACAGCAGUGAAUAAAGUCCCCGCUCACAUGGAGCGGGUAGGCUGAUGGUGAUGGAACUCAUAAGUAUACGGCAGGUGUUAGUAAACACUGCGGAGAAAAAUAAAGCUGUGUCAGAGAGAGAGUACCUGGGGAUCAGGGGUAGAGCGACGUUAACCAGGGCUAAUAGGAAGGCCUCUUUGAUGUUAUUAGGCCAGUGAGGAAUCAGCUGUGGGAGUGUCUGGAGGAAGAGGAUUCCAGGCAGAGAAAAUAAAAAAGUAACUGCAGUAGAGACGGGAGCAGGCUUUGUGUGUCCAAGAGACACAUCAUGGCAGAUCAGGUAGGACUCUGUUGGCCACAGUAAGAAGCUGUUUGGAAGGUAGGAAAUGAUAACUAGAGAGAGUGAAGAUGGUAUUCUGAGAGUCUAUGUGAUUUAUUGUAGGGAUCCCGGAGAGUCGAGCCCCUUGUGCCUCAUAACUGGAGUGUUUACAAGCCGUGUAAGGCCUUCUUGCAGUAAAAUGCUACUUUUGUAAUUUAAAUUAUUAUGCUAUGAAAACCUUAGCAAAGAUAGAUAAAGUUGAACUAUUUGAAGCACAAUUACAGCUAAAAAGCGCAAAGUGGGCAAUUCUUCCUAUCACAUCUACUCCUCAGAGAGAUGUGGGGUACCUGAAUGUCUAACUGUGGAAUGUUUUGAUUUGAUUUAAAUUUGCCAAAAACUCAUCUUCCAUAAGGCAUAUCUUUGCUGAUUUUUGCACUCAGUAACAAGCAGUUUAGAAUUUUGAACUGAAGGGAUUUUAAAUCCAUGUUUAAAGUGCUUUCAUUUUAAAAUAAUUCUUAGUUUUAUGUUCAGUCAGAUGAUAAGCUCCUUUUUAAAAUUCUGUAUGAAAACUUACUGUUUGGUACAGGUUAAGAAGUCUUGUUAUACAGUACUUAUUUUAUUGGAGGUACAAAGAGAGUGUGGAAAAAUAAAGGCAAUUGGCCAGGUGGGAAGGGUAAAAUUGUUUUAUGUACCUUUUCUCUUGUAAAGUUGUGUUAAAAACAUUUUUGUAAUUUCUUAAAGGUAGAGUUGAUUGCCAUAAUUUGAUUGCAGCCCCCUGUCAUUACUUCACUAUUAUACUCGGAUACUAAAUGCCCCUUACUAAAUCUAAGGAAAUGGGCAAGUUCUGUCAUCUGGGAGUUUACAUGUUAAGAGACAUUGCACGGGUGAGAACAGACAUAAAAUGUAUAUGUAAUUAUAUCGACAACAUACAGGGCUUAGAAAGGGGCUUGAUAGCCUUUUAUAGGUGUCGUCCAGGUUUAUCUUACUUGAAAUACUGCCUGAGACUCUAUACCUAAUUCUUAUCACAUAGCCUUUCUAUUAGUCAAUGAUAGAUUUGGGUUGGGUUAACCCUCAUAUUCUUUUAGCAAGGGACCCACCUGCAGAAAAGAGUUAUUAUUGGUUUUGUCAUUUAUAGUUUAGUUCAACAAGACCGGAUUUCCUCACCGCCUUUGGCUGAAACUGACUGACUAAAUCAGUUUCACUUGUGGGGUAGAGAAAUGAGUAAUUUGGGAACAUAGAGUGUUGUGUGGAGGAGAGCUUAGUUUGCUCCUCUUCAUCCUCCCCUUAGGUAAGAAGUCUGCAUUGAGAGAGGGAGAAAGAUUUGGGACAUCAUGGGGAAACUGACCCCCUUGGGUGAGACACAUUGGGAAUUAAGAGAAAGAUGUAAAAAUGGACCAGGAGAGGAUGUACAGAAGCCCCAGGGGAGCCAGAGAAUUUCUGGUCCUAAGCUCAAGUGUCAGCCUCAGUUCUGCCUAGCAUCUUGGACAUGCUGUCCCUGCUGGCUUAUCUCCUGUAAGACAAGGGGCAUACUCCUGACUUACUGAGCAUCCCAUCUCAGAGGAGCUGGGAGUACAAGGAAUUCAGGAAUGGACUUUCAAGACAACAUCUAACCCGAGUCUUCUGCAGACAUUUCUCUACUGAAUCUACUUUCUAAGUGUAGAUUAGUGUCUAAGAGAUAGACAUUAAGUUUCUUUUUCUACCAGCCUCUGACCCCCUUGCUUUGAGGAAAACACAUGUGUUGUCCACGAAGUGGUGAGUUCUGUUUGGUCCUUCCUCUAAGAUUGGUCCGGGGCUUGAGCCGUUUUGCCCCAUGUGCUCUGGGAUUUCCCCCGGUUGUCCCCCCAUAUAAGUAGACAACUUGCUGUCUGUGUUCUAAGACCUUCAUAUUUUUCCCUUUGACUUGAGUCUGUUCUGGAACAAUUGUGUGGUGGCUGGGCACUGCAAAAUGAGUCAGUUCCUGCAGUUUGGUUACAAGUUCUCAAAAAGUAUUUCAGAAUGUGGAUGUGGUCAGCAGAGUCAUUUUCCAGACAUCUAAAAGGAAACCCACAUCAACUGUAACAAUUGAGCUACGAACCGAUGGCUCUACACAACCGAAUGGGGCCUGCUUUUCCUCAAAGCCUGUAGGUGCCCUCAAAUCUAGCAUUCUCUAUGGAUCGGAAAGGAGAAUUCAUCUUCAUGCUUGUAGAUCACAUUUUAUCUGUUACUGUUGACAUAAAAAAAUGCGAUAGAGGUUUUGGCCUUCAUCACCUUUUGAAUGUGGGCACAAAUUUGACAUAAGAAAUAAUUAGUAAAAUGGAAUCUAUGGGAUUAGAGUAUAAUUAGUGCAAAGUGUGAAAUGUGGCUUAGGGAUAGAUGCUUGGGUAAUUGAACUAAUGCACGAAGGAGAGGUUAAGAUGGUUUGGGUACCGAUAGAGUACAUCGAAAUAUGCUUAUUUGGUUUACUAAUAGUCUGAACCUGUGCAGACUUAGCAGCAAUACUGAUAAAAUAUCAUUAAAUCCUUUUCAAGCUUUAAAAGAAGUUCAGAUUUGUCAUAACAUUUGGAGAAUAUUUUCGCUCCACACAAGUUUUGGAAAAUAAUCUUUGUGAAUUUUUUUAUCCUCUUGGGUAUCAUGAAUUGUAAAAUUUUGUUGCAGUUCUCAGUUACCAGUCUUGCUCCACUCAUUAAAACUGAUGGCAUUUUCAAUAAUAAGAAAACAAAAUUUAAAAAUGGGUAAACGAUUUGAACAGACACUUCACCACAGAAGAUACGCAAAUGGCAGAUAAGCACAAGAAAAAAUCUUUUCAAUGUCAUUAGUGAAACACAAGUCAAAACCACAGUGAGGUACUGCUACACACCUAUCUGAAUGGCUAAAAUUUAAGAAGCCAGCCAUGCCAACUGUUGGUAAGGAUGUGUAGGAUUUAGAACUCUCAUGUAAAAUGAUACAAACAUGUCAAACAUACACCUAUCAUAUGAUUCAGCUGUUUCACUCCCAGAGAAAAGAAAGCAUGUGCUCACCUGAAGACUCGUACGUGAAUAUGCAUAGUAGUUUUAUUAGUAAUAGCUAAAAGCUGGAAACAAUCCUAAUGUCUAUCAACAGGUAAAUGGAUAAACAAAUUGUGGUGUAUCUGUAUGAUGGAUACUACUCAAUAAUAAGAAGGAAUGAACUAUUGAUACCUUCAAUAACAUGGAUGACCCUAACCCAUGAGAGUCAUAUCAUAUGAUUCCAUGUAUACAGAAUUCUGGAAAAUGUGAAAGCAGAUCAGUGGUUACCUGGGGUAGGGGAGAUGGGGGUGGCAAGAAAGGGGUUACAAAAAGGCCCGAGAAAACUUCCGGGCUGGUGGAUAAUUUCUGUCUUGUGUUGAUGGUUUCAUGGGUGUAUAUAUGUCAAAACUUAUCAAAUUAUACAAUUUGAAUAUGUGCAGUUUAUCGUAUGUCAGUUAUUCCUUAAUUCUUAAAAAAAACUUAAAAUAAGAAAUCAUUGUUAUAGUAGAUGGAAGGCUUUAAAAUGCCCUUAUUUGGCAAAAUCAGCAUUUCUUGGGGGGAGGGGGGAACCUGAUAGAGUUUUAAUGGUUUGAGGACAGAAAUACGACCUUCUAGUACAGAUGAGAAACCAAAGUUAAACAGUGAACAUAAUAAAUGGGAUCUCUUUAGUCCCUUUUGUUUACAAAGCAUUUGAACAAGUGGUUCAGGAAGUAUCUUUUCCAGCAUGGUGGUUCCAGCUGCCUGCCCGACUUCUAAGCAUUAGCACUUAAACAAACUUACUGUAGCAGUCUACCGUGCAAUGUGGCUAAGACAUCCAAAGUUGCUGUGUUCAGAUUGCAAAGAUAAGACAUGAAAAUCCCCACUUUCAGAUUCUAUCAUUGUUGGAGAAAUAAAUCUCUCAUAUUUACACAGUGCAUGAAAAUUUAUGUAUUUCCAGCUGUAUUGAGGUAUAAUUGACAAAUAAAUUGUAUAUAUUCACAGUGUGCAAUAUGAUGUUUUGGUAUAUGUAUACAUUGUGAAAGGAUUACCACAAUCAAGCUAAUUAGCGUAUGUAUCACCUCACAUAGUUAUCUUUUGUGGUGAGAACGUUUUAAGAUUUUUCUCUCUUAGCAAAUUUCAGGUAUAUGAUGUAGAAUUAUUAACUAUAAAGUAUUUUCAUAAACCUCAUCCUGUGAAAUCCUUUCAAUGGUCCUAUUACAGGUAGGAUCAGUAUUAUCCUCGUUUGCUUUGGCAGCAAACUGAGACCCAGAGAAGCCAAGCUACUUGGCCAGGAAUACAGAGCCCCCAUCUUCUUGCUCAGAAAUCACCAUUCUAACUACUACACUUUGCUUCUUCCUCAAACUAUUGUCAUUGAGUGUUUGGCUAAGACUCUUCACUCACCAAUUUGUCAGGUAGUUAUUAGAGUUCCUUUUUAAAAAUAUGAGAUGUUCAAGAUGAUAAUUCCCUCUAAUCCUCUGUUUCCCCGUUUCUAAAUGGGUAAUAACACAGCCACCAGCUUCCCAAGUUUGUGACCCUUACACGUGGAAGAGUCAUGAAAAGUGGGCAACUCUGUGUACCCAGUGGGUGUUGAUGUUACUGUGUGACUGCCCUCUUUGUUCCUGGGUUACUGAUCACACAGUACUGAGUGGCUUUGCAAACCCAACAGGGAGACAUAGCAGUUUAGUUAACAUUAGUUGCCCUAUAGCUUCCUUCAGAAUUGGAAAGUUGCACAAUAAGAAAUCCUAUGUACUGGAUUAUUUUAAAUUCUUCUUUAAAGGACACUAAACCAUCAUUAGUUGGGUCCCAGAGACUCACCAAACAGAGCUUAGAGGCAGAUACCAUUGAGGUUUACUUAGCUAACAAGAUUGACCCAUGUCUGGCAUCCUCCUUUUCUCCUUGGUUGUGUUGCCUGUACAUCUCUCCUCCUUAUUCUUCAUCAUUUUCGAUGGCCUUCUCUCUUCACUAGCCCUCUAACACACUUUAGAAAAUGUUUUGUUUUUUUUUUAAAUAACUAUUUGAUGUAUUGGCAAAAUGAGCAGUUUUCCUGAGAGUUCUCUGUCUGUCCCGACUGGCACUUCUUUUUUUUUUUUUUUUUUUUCUUUUUUCAUAUAUUGAUUUCUUUUAAAUUAAAUUAAAUUUUUUAAAAUUUCUGUUGGUUUUGGGGGAACAGGUGGUGUUUGGUUACAUGAGUAAGUUUUUCAGUGGUGAUUUGUGAGAUUUGGGUGUACCCAUCACCCGAGCAGUAUACACUGUACCCAAUUUUUAGUUUUUUUUUUUUUUGAGACAAGUCUCACUCUGUCACCCAGGCAGGAGUGCAGGGGUGCAAUCUCGGCUCACUGCAAGCUCCGCCUCCCGGGUUCAUGCCAUUCUCCUGCCUCAGCCUCCUGAGUAGCUGGGACUACAGGCACCCGCCACCACACUCGGCUAAUUUUUUGUAUUUUUAGUAGAGACGGGGUUUCACCGUGUUAACCAGGAUGGUCUCGAGCUCCUGACCUUGUGAUCCGCCCACCUUGUCCUCCCAAAGUGCUGGGAUUACAGGCGUGAGCCACCACGCGCAGCCCCAAUUUGUAGUAUUUUAUCCCUCACCCGCCUCCCACCCUUUCCCCGAAGUCUCCAAAGUCCAUUGUAUCAUUCUGGCACCUCUAAAACCAGACAUGAUUUGUUUUCUUGACUUCGGCUUGAGAGUUCCAAUUUCUAACUCUAAUGGACUUUAAUCUUAGAAAAUCAGGGGAUAUAAUCAUAUGGUAGUGCAAAGAGUAUCAAAUUUUGUCUAAGGAUGACAAUCAAAGGGAGCCCUAUUUUUUUGUUUUGUUUUUCAUCAAAUCCUCGAAUUUAUUCCAUCCCUAAUUCCGUGGUCCUUCAUGGCAUUCAUAGGGGCAGCUGUGAAGAAAAGUGGUAAUGUACCUGACGACUCUCUCCUGUCGGUGUCAGGGUUGCAUUUACUAUUACUGAUCCCAGUAAUAGGAUGAGUUUGAUCUCUCAGCAUGAAAAGAAUGACCAUAUUAGGGAUUUGUUUGUUCUCCAGACUACAGAAAGUUUGAUAACCAGAGUAGGACUUACUGGAGAGAUAAUGUCAGAAUGAAUAGAGACUGUCUGUGAGAAAUUUGAACGGGCUCAGUGCUGUUACCUACUAGCUAGAAAUGGGAAGCAAGGGGAUGAAUGUGAGGUUGGGGGCAUUGAGUCAAGAAGAAGAUCAGGCAAUUCUGGAGCUAGGUAAAUUGGGAUCAUUCCUGGCUUGUCACAUCUACGUGGGACAUUUAGACUAUCCACGGGCUGGAUACCUUAGGAAAGUUCCUUCUGGCUCUGGGACUCACUGCUCUUUCAGCAUUGCCAAUUUACAUCUAGUGUGUUCUUGUUAGAAGUGGAAGGCUCCUCUUCAUUUUUGAGCUCCUUGCGCCCUGUCAUUUUCUCUGUAUGAGAGGGUUUUGCUAUUCCUUUUUGAGUGAAAACGACUCCCAUAGCAUAUUGCCAUUCACACUCCACCAGGUCUCCCCUUCACACACACACACACACACACACACACACACACACACACACACACCAUUCUCUUGUCCUCCCUGAGCCAGUCCUUUCAAGGUUAUAUCAUCCUUUAGUGCCAAGUACCUCCCCUGACCUCUUUCUUCACUCAUAGAAAGAGGAACCAGAUUUCCCCUGUGUGACUGCCAUCAAUACAAACAGCAGUUUUGUUUCUGUUAUUUCCCCUUUCAACCUAGUGAUAAAGUUUGCUGCUGCUGCUCUCCCCACCCCGCACAGGAAGAAAGACUUCCUUCCUUCAUCUCUUGACUUUGCCCAGGCCUAUGAAUAAUCUUCGCUUUGUCAUGGACUCCGGAUGCUCACCUUUUCUAACAUUUUUUUUAAACCUCCAAGAGUUACUCCUCAGCCUCCUUCCCUUCCCCACCUUCUGGUUUUCCCUACCUGGUAAACUUCUUAUUCUACCUAGUUAAUAAUAGUGGGCGCCCAUGAAGCUCUUGCCUCAUUGAUGAGUAUCUGGGCAUUGGGCUUCCCUAUGUCCAUUUUCUCUUCUGGUGUAUUGACUGACGUCUCUCUCCCUGGCUCUUUUCUCACUUGCGGUGGUGCUCCCUCUUCAAUAUCCUGCUUCCUUUUUACAUUCCAGACUGUCAUGUUGUAGACCAUCUCCAAUUGUAAGCUGAGUGCUUGAUAUUUUGCCAUUUUCCUCUUUGUUAGUGUUUUGAAUCCUAAUUUUUAAUCUGAUUUUUAAUUAUAUUGAUGUUGUUUUUCUAGAUACUUAUAUUUUGCUCUAUAGAACUGUCCAUACGUUGUCAAAAAACCUUCCACUGUCAGCACAAAUACAGUCCAGCAUCAACCAAUAAGGAGAGAAGAAGGGGUAGAAGGAUGCUGUUGUGCUAUUAUCAAGGCUUUGCAUGGUCCUUGGGGUGUACCGAGUUAUUUCCUCCAAAACAGUUGAGGUUUCCUUACAACCUGUUGAAGAACUGAUCACACGUCCACUGUGUGGCAGCCACUCUGGGAGCAAAUACUGGACUUGUAGGUUAGGUCUUUAUACUGUAGUCUUUCUUCGUAGUUUGAAAAUAUCUAUUUCCCCUCUUUCCCUUCGUUUAACACAUUUUAGAACAUUCUUUCUUUAAAAAUCUUAAUUAGCGUUUCCAUUUUCUCUUUGUUACACAAGUAGAAUCCAUGUUUUCAUCCUGUUCCUCUUUGCUGAAGUGUGUGUGUGUGUGUGUGUGUGUGUGUGUGUGUGUGUGUUUUGUACCUGAUAGGUCAUCAAAUAGCAUCUGCGGGAAAUACAUUUAGCCCUUCAUCAUUUAAAAAUCAUUUUUAUUAGUCUUUCCGAAUCUUCACACUUCUUCUGCUAACUAUCUUCCUUUCUCUUCCAUUGUGGUGUGAGCUAUUUAUAUAAGCCACUUAAUUUUAAAAGUCCACAUACUGUCAUAGAACUCAUAAUAAUUGAUACCUAAUGUGGUUGAGCUUCUGAUAACCAUCAUAAGCAAAAGAAACUGUAUAUAUGGAUGUUCUCUUUCUGGUCUUCCCUCAUUACCUGUUCAUUUGUCUUAGUUUUAUCAUUUUACUGGAGUAGAUUUUAUUUCCCUGAGGACCCUUCUGUGCUACAAACCUGUGAUGGUACACAAACACACUCUAAGACAGUGCUUUCACUAGUCCAUACUUCUGUUAAAAGGAACAUACACUCUUUUACAAAUAGCAUGAUCUUAUAAGCACCCACAAAUCUUACAGAAAGCUACCAUAAAACUAAGAGAGAAAGCAAGAAAUGUUUAAAGGAUGAAGAAAUACAAGAGUUUCCCUGAAUGGAGAUAGUCUUCCACUGUGUGUGUGUGUGUGUUUGUGUUUGUUGUUUUUUGAAAUGUAUCAGUAUAGGUGUCAGGCAUUUUACUGUCUAUUCACUCACAUUUCUUUAUUUGACAAAUAUUUACUAAAAGGUGACUAUGAUCUAGUGUACUAUGCUGGUACCUGGGGAAUCUCAAAAUUAUGGGACUGAUUCUUACCCUCAAAGAGCACAUAUUCUCACAGGGAGACACAUUUCUAAACAAAUUGAAGAGCAAUGUGUCUUGUGUUUCUGGCUGAGACCACAGACUCAGUGAUCUGGGAACCAGCCCCCAGUAGUAUGCAGCUAACUUUCCAGAGGAAUCCAGGAAGGUCCCUUAGCAUCCUAUAAGAGAGCUGGGCCUUGCAGGGAGGGAAGUGCUUGUCAGGCAGUGUUCAGAAGCCGAAUUUUGCUCCUCCAUCAGUCCAUCUGAGGAGAGGGAAACUUGAUGGGAAGAUUCAAGGAAGACGACACAAAGAAUUUUGUACCAUAAGAACAUUGUAUGACAAAAGAAGUUCUGUACAGUGCCAAAAGCAGAGGCUUGGUAGAGAUCUGAUUAUAAAUGAAGGUUGCAAUGGUAGACAUGUGCGAUGUUGAUGCCUUUAGAAAAUAGCACAAGGCUUAAAAAUGAGACCAAAUCCACAGAAAGGCCUCGGUAAUAGUAUAGAGUAGUAAUGGGUUAAUUGUCACUAAAUAAGUCUCUAAGUCAUGAAUUCUUGAGAGAACUGACUGGUUUUUCUGCUAUUCACAAGCUCAGAGAAGUUACUUUAUUUUGACGUCCUUCUUUUGUUUUUACUUAUCAUUGAUGGAAUGCAAAUUAUUUUCCUCUUUCUUUUAUUUAAAAACGACAAGAAUUCCUCACCAUCGUUGCACACUGCUGACAUUGUAUGUAGAGAAUGCCUUAGGGUUUUCUUCCAGAGUGUGGGGAGAGGGACAAAGAGAGAUAUAUAUGUACAUGGAUUUAGGGCAAUUAAUUUCUGAAACUUGUCCAUAAAAAGACUGUUUGUUACUUAGGUUAAAACUAUCCUUUUCCUCUGAGUGUUUGCAAUGAGUAAAAUGCUUCAUGUUUUCAUCUAUUGAUUGUUUAAAAAAUGUUGUUUUUCGUUGAGAAGGAUUAAAGGCAUGCACCUAAUUGUUAAAUAUUAGUUUUUAAAAAACUAGUCUGAGUCUGUCUUUAUGGGCUCUGAGUGGUUUCACCUUUAGAAGCUUGUUUUAGGAUCUUGUGCCAACCAGUCCCUUCUGAGGCCUGUUCAGACUAGAAUUAUCUGGCAGGGGCAAUGUCUUUUAAAAAAAUGUCUUCAGCAGGAACGUCCCAGAGAAUGUUCACCUCAGUCUUCAAGUUGGCUUGCGGAGCAAUUUACUAAAUAGAGAGAUGUGAGAAUCAAGUGACCAUCAGCUGGUAUAAAUGUUUUUGGUCAGUGUAGUCACAGGAUCUCAGGUAUGCAAGAGCUGGACGGGUUUCAACCACGUGCCCGGUUAUGGUGAUACCCUGGCUCAGUUGCUCUAACAUAACAUAACACAGAAGGAAUCCAAGUUCAUAAGAACAUACUUUAAUUAGACACCUGUAUUUAAAAGGCUGAUUUCUCCUCUAGCAUAAUUUCACCCUGUGGCGCACUGUGUAUACAUGGGUGCAUUUCUUCCCUGGCCUACAGUUAGAGUUAAUUGGACUUUUUGUUCUUAACGGUGUGGGAGGCAGCUUUUUUUAAAAAAAAAAACAGCUUUAUUGAAGUAUAAUUGAUAAAGAACUGCACAUAUUUCAUGUGGAAAAUUUCAUGAGUUUGGAUAUAUGCAAACACCUGUGAUACCAUCACCAUAAUCAAGGUAAUGGAUGUAUUCAACAUCUCUCAAAGUUUCAUUGUAUCCCUUUGGUUUUGUGUCUGUGUUUGUGUAUAUGUUAAGAAUCACUUAACAUGAGAUAUACACUGUGGGUGGCAGUUUUUGUUCACUUCUAAAGUAAACUCUGACUUCAUUAGAAUAGUGGACUGGCUUAUGCUCUGUCAAAUCCCUAAACAUGAUUGUGAUAGAAUUUGACUCUAUUCCUAUUUAGUUACAGAAAACUACUGGUGCAUGAACAAAAAUAUGUGAAAUAUCAUGGAUGGGGUUUAGGGGGACAUGUGGGGCCAGACUUUGUGAGGUUAUAGAAAAUCAUGGAACUGGAAAGCAUCUGGAAGUUCUUUUACUCAAAGAAGCAUAGAUUCUUUCACAUUUGUGUUAAAAACAGUGAAUUAGACAAUUUUGACUUGGUAAAGUUAGCAUUCUGGCAAUGCUGUGAAAUCGUUCAUCUCUCUUCAUUUACUUCCACAUAUAGUCCCUAGGGUCAAAAUUUCUUUCUAAAAAUGAUAAUUUCUAAAGUCAGAGAUGCUUUUUGGGGGCAAAAUAGAAUUGUCCAGGUAAUCAGUUUAAAAGACAGAGUAAUUCUACUCUUCCUUCAGUAGAAUGACGCACGAAGCAGCAUUUCUUUCAUUUCCAGUAGAACUUUGAUGCGAAUGUGACUUUUAUCUCUCUCAGUGUAGCUUUAAACAUCAAUGGGUUUCUUUACUUCUUGGUUUGGUGUAUAGGUUGCCCCUGUUCUAACCGUGUGGAGUGUAAGCUCUUCAAAUUCUAGGUUAACAUUUCAAGAAAUGGUCUUUAUCCCAGUUCAAAGCAGGCCUUCCAACAGCAGGUGGCAGGCUUAACUUUUAAUAGUCUUUCCCUCCCUUUAAACUCUUUCUCAUACCUCAAAUAAAUGGUCUUUAGCCAGAAUGUAUGGGAGUUUUUGUUUAUUAUUAUUUUUGUUUUGUUUGUUUGCAGUGUGACUAGGACUUGAGCAGAAGUACCUUGGUUACAGUCCUAUCACUCACCCUUGGGGCUUAGUUGUCAUCUUAAUUGUUAGAUAACAGAAUUAUAUAACUCAACAUUUCUAGUUUGAACCUAUUUCUUUUCUUUUCCUUUUAUUUUUAAACUGAAAAUGCAUUAUUGGUUAAUAUUCUAUGGUGUUAUAUAUUCUACAUAUUCUAUUCUUUGUGUUUUUAAUAAACUUAAAACUGUAUAGUAUUGUUUAGUGGUUGACACUAAUUUACAGAAUAACCUUUAAUAAAAUUUUAUUUACAGAUUUUCCUAUUUGUAUUACCUAGAUUAAAUUUAAAACAAGGGGCAAAAGACCACCUUAACUUUAGUACUAAGAUGUGGAGAAUAGAUACCUUUGAGAAUUAAAAAUUUACCUUUUCUCAUCUAAAUGUAAAGAUUUAUAAAAGAUAAUCUUUUGUAUUUUGGCAUUGAAAGUGACCACACUAAACCCUUGCCUCACUUUAAUUGUUAGUCUUAUUCAUAAAAGUAGAGUUAUGAACAGUUAGUUUUAGUGGUUUAUGAAAUGUAAGUUUGUGUGUUCUACAAAUGCUUUAUUUUACAUUGAGGGUAAGACUUAGCCAAACCUAUAUAAACGGUCUUUUCCCCCACUUCAGUAUGUAUGCUCUGGUUUGUAGGCAGUGCCAAAAUAUACUUCAUAGAUGGGAUUGGCCUUAACUUAUUUAAAGAGAAAAAAAAGCAAGCAAUCAAAAAAACCCCUGCUUCACCUUGUAAAUUCCACCCUUAUCCUCCCCCACCAAGAGCUAACCACACUGGUGAAGCACUAUUACUAUAAUUUGGCAAGUGAGUUGCCUCUUAAAAUUAGACAUCUGUGAUUAAAUAGUUAAAUCAUUCCCUAGAUAUGUAUAUAUUUAGAGCUCCCAGAAAGCUGGUUAUCUUUUCUUAUAGCUAACACAUUUUUAAAAAGCCACUUUUCUCUUGGUGAUAAAUAUGUGUGUGUCAUACUGUGGUAUAGCUGCAUGUCCGAUCAAAUGGUACUAGUUUCCAAUUGACAGUAGCUUUAUUAAAUCUUUUCUAAGUGAUAGCUGAAGCAUUUUAAAUUCACAGCAAAGGAUUCUAAGACGUGUACUUGGAGAAAAGUUGCAUAGUCAUUUACCUUCUAGAAUAAUCCUAAAAGUAGGAAACAAUAAUUGGCCAUGUGGUCAUGUGCUAAUAAAAGAACACCUUGUCCAAGAUACCAGGCUUUUUCCUGUUUCAGUGCUUUUUGUUCUGACUCUUGCCUCUCCCUGUGGUGUCCUUUCCCACCCCAGGUAUGUACAUGAUUCUUCUCCUCCUACUUCAGGAAUCCACUCAAAUGCCAGGCCCUCAGUGAGGCUUUUCCUAGCCACCUUAUCGAAAAUAGCAUUCCUCUUAACUGUUUCAUUACUCUAUGAAAUGACCGUCCAUAUCUAUGGAGGUUUUUUUCAGUCUUUUUCUACCCUUUCCUUAAAUCUUAGACUUAAACUUCCGUGAGUGCAAGGAUUUUGUUCAGUGUUGCAUUCCCAGUGCCUGGAAUAAAGCACGCAGAAGUAUUUCAGUAAGGUACUGAAAGGUACUUAUUGAAGGUACUCAGUAAGUAUUUCUGGGGUGGAUAAAUGAAUAGCAAAGAGAACACCAAUCCUGUGACUUAUUUUGUUACCUUCAUUGUAUCAUGGGAGGAAAGCUUGGAACUGACAUGCUAGUGAGCACCUGCUUUGAAUAUUUAUUAUAAUAUGCAUUUUCUGUAAUUUUCUUUGGUGUUUGAGAUAUUUGGUAAAAUAACUGUAUUAUCCUCAGUUCGUAACACGAAAGAAUUUUUUAACUGCAAUUUACUUUACAUAUGUGCAUCAUUGCUAGAUUACCCAAGUUAAAGUGACAGGAAGCAACAAAAAUGCUCCAAGCCACAAUAAAAUGGUAGAUUGGUUUUUUGUUUGCUUGUUUGUUUUUCUCUUGUGUAUAUUUCCAUUUUACUGCAAAACAUACCAAAUAAUUGAUUGUAGAUUUUGUCACAAGGAAUCAUGUAUGCUGUAGAAGUAUAGAGAUUUUCCACUUUUUUUGUUUGCUGCUGGAUCUCCAGCACCUAAGAAAAUAUGUGGCACUUUAUUUAAUGUCACUCAGUCAGUAUCUGUUGGAUAAGUAAAUAAAUCCAGAGGUUGUUUAAAAUUACGUACAUGGGAAUAUUGUCAAAAUGUCAAUUCAUGAUCCAAAGAAAAUGUGCAAUUGAAAUCUGAUAUCUUCUUUUUUCUUCCACAGAGCCCCUCCCCAGAAGGCAAAGGAUCACCCAGCUGCUGGAAGGUGUAGGUACCCUCAAUGGCUCAGUAGCCAGUGUAGAUCCUGUCUUUCGUAAUCAGCAGCUACAUCUGGCUACUGGGUCUCUGAUGGCAUCUUCUAGCUUCUGCUUCAGUGUCCUGAGAGAGAUUAUUGGGCAGUCUUUAAUAAUGAAAACUUUACCUUGAAUUACACACACACACACACACACACACACACACACACACACACACUCACACACACACUCACACACACACAAAGAGAGAGAGAGAGAGAGAGAGAGAGAGACAGAGAGAGAGGAGAGAGUCAAGUUCUAGGGUGUUAAGUCCAACAUUAUCAGCUGGGGCUUGGGAACCUUCAAGGUUUUAUGAAUGAUGAGGUCUAUUUGCUUUCAAUACUACAAGGGGGAGGAAUCUGGAUAUUUAUCCAUGUUUUAGCUCUUACCUGUUUUUGUUUUACCUCUUUUUUUCUCUUUCCCCCCUAUGAAAGGUAUCAUUUGGAUAGAUCAAUCUAUUCAUCUAUCUACCUACCUACCUAUCUACCCCUACCCAUCCACCCAUUUAUCCAUCCACCCAUCCAUCCAUCCAUCCACCCACCUGCCCACGUACCUACCAGUUUAUCUAUCCGACCUUCCUUCCAUCCAGCUUUUUCAUCUCUUGACUUUUAGAUGGCAUUUUCAACAUGAUGUCAUGAUUAAAUGAUGACAACUUGAUGAUAUGAUGGUUUAAGGAAAUUUUGUUGGUAGUAGGUAAGUCCCAGCAUUUCUGACUGUUGGUUUUCUUUUCCUUGUGGUAGAAAAGACAAAUGCCAAUUUUGAAAUCUUGAAUGCAGUAGGCAGUUGUGUUGAAAUAGUAUGUGAGAAUUACUUGCAAGCUGAACAUCCAGGUCUGGGGCAUGAACCUGGCAUACAAUGUAGAUUUCUGUGUUCGUUAGGCAACAGCUACAUUGUCUGCUGGGUUUCAGGCUACCUGGAAACAUGUUCUCCAUUGGCUGUCUCACCAAUGCUACCCCUAUAAUGUUUCUGAAUAACUGUUUUCCAGGAGGUAUAAACCAGUGGAGUUUAUCAUUGAAUAGAGUGCAGAGAAAGGACCGCAAGAAAGCUGAUCACCUCAGCAAUGAAUGAUUUCAAUACGAUUUCACCCAAAUGGUCUCACACACCAGCCUAGUAAACCAGAGAUAAGGUGUAAUGUCAUCCUUCCUUCCUUCUCCCUGCCUCAACUGUCAAAGAUUGACAACUUACAUGUUGUUUACUUUUUGGCUUCUAUUUCUGUUCAUAAUUAUUAUCAGAAGGCAUAGCACCCACAAGCCUAAUCAUACUGCCUUACAACCUUAUUCCUCUUCAUUUUGUCUUCUCACUUACCUGCAGAAACCCAGUUUAUUUUUGUUCUCCCUUUACCACACCAGCCUUGUAACUGUUAUGAAUGACCCUCAAUCUCACUGGAAUCUGAAUCACUCAGGAAUUCAAGCAAACUGGAUGUUUUAACCACUGUUCAGCUUUCUUAUGGAAUGACAGAGAACUUGUAAAGAUAAAACACCAGUUUGCAGGAAGAAAGGAAGAGAAUGGAAAUUGCUUCUGGAAAAUACUAGUUUUACAAUAUGUUUUGUUUGUCUGCUCUCUUAAAUAAACUUAAUCCUAUAAACAUUUUUUAAGAACUAGCCAUUAAGACUGUUAAGUUCUCAAUUAUAAAGGAAUAAAAUGUUUUAAGGAGGAUUUAUUUGCCCUUGCUUAUAUGAACUGCAUAUUUUUAGUAGGAAAUCAUGUAAUUUAAAUUAGUAUUGGUUAACAGAUUUAACGUAGAAAAUGGACAUAUAAAGAAUACAAGGAUAAAUGUCUACAUGUAAUAAUGGAUGGUAGUGAUAUAAUGCAUUUUUGUCAUCCCAUGCUGAAUUCAGUAAAAAUAAAGCUAAUGACUUGGAGCUUUUAAAA